CGGUACCGGACGAGCGCAGCGUAGGAGGAUAAGGAG
rfam:Alicyclobacillus ferrooxydans strain TC-34 contig_38, whole genome shotgun sequence.